GAUACUGCCAUGAACACAACAGUUCCUGCUGAAGAUGCAAAGAAUACUACUACAAACGCAACAGUUACUGGUAUGUAUGCAAAAUCUAGUUCCAGCGAUACAGCUUUUAACCCUGAAGCCUCCGAAGUUAGUUUCAGCGAUACAGCUUUUAACCCUGAAGCCGCCAUAAGUA